rnacentral:rRNA from 1 species
GUCCACGCCGUAAACGAUGAUCACUAGAUGUGGGUUUUGCAUAGCAAGAUCUGUGUCGUAGCUAACGCGAUAAGUGAUCCGCCUGAGUAGUACGGUCGCAAGAUUAAAACUCAAAGAAAUUGACGGGGGGUCCGCACAAGCGGUGGAACAUGUGGUUUAAUUCGACACUACGCGAGGAACCUUACCUGGGUUUGACAUGUAACUGCUACCGAUAGAAAUAUUGGGUUCUAUAGCAAUAUAGACGGUUACACAGGUGCUGCAUGGCUGUCGU